rnacentral:misc_RNA from 1 species
GAUGAAGAACGCAGCAAAAUGCGAUAAGUAAUGUGAAUUGCAGAAUUCAGUGAAUCAUCGAAUCUUUGAACGCACAUUGCGCUCGCUGGUAUUCCGGCGGGCAUGCCUGUUCGAGCGUCAUUUCAACCCUCAAGCCCCCGGGUUUGGUGUUGGGGAUCGGCUCUGCCCUUCUGGGCGGUGCCGCCCCCGAAAUACAUUGGCGGUCUCGCUGCAGCCUCCAUUGCGUAGUAGCUAACACCUCGCAACUGGAACGCGGCGCGGCCAUGCCGUAAAACCCCAACUUCUGAAUGUUGACCUCGGAUCAGGUAGGAAUACCCGCUGAACUUAAGCAUAUCAAUAAGCGGAGGA